rnacentral:ncRNA from 1 species
GCAGGUUCUCGCCUUUUGGAGAUGAAAAGGGAAUCGGGUGAAACUCCCGGACAGACCCGCUGCUGUAAGCCGAAAUUGUAAAGGCACGAACAAGAAUGUCACUGAGAUUAUUGGGAAGACGUUCGUUGCCGUCGGCAAAGUCAGAAGACCUGCCUGCAUAAA